UUGAAAUAACAAAAUAACAUAAAACAAGCUAUAUACAGAAAUAUAUAUAUAAAUUUAGAGGGUUAAUGGAGAUGUUCUGGGUUAUUUUAAAAUUGUGUUUACCAAAUACUUCCAAGGUGCAGCCAGUUCUACCACCGGGUGUUCAUUUAAAAGCUUUUGUCUUUCUCGUAAGUAUUUCCAUAGUUUCAGCUAAUGUGCCAUGUGCCAUUUUGUUUAGGGAUCUUAUUACUUUAGUGUCCUACCAAUUCACCUCCAAAUUGCUAAGGCUGUAUUCAAUUUCAUGCCAGCCAAGUCUCUUUUUAUGUUCUGAUCUUUGUUUCAAUGUUCUCGUUGUUACCCUUAUGUAUGCUUCU
rnacentral:lncRNA from 1 species